rnacentral:lncRNA from 1 species
AAUGGUGCCUCUACAAUGGGUUCUGGGUUUGAUAUAAUCAAAUCUGGUUCUAUGGGUUUAUUAGAUUGUGUCGGUUCUUCUACCUAUCAUACUUCAUAUAUUUUACAUCAAAAGCAUCAGUUCCUUUACCAAGAUACUCCUUUUCUAAAAGAAAUACCAAACAACUGUUAUUCUUUAGCAAGGUAGAAGUUAUAUCUCCUAGAUUCUUUGGGGUUAUCCUACAAAAUAAUACAUAU